GAGAUGCGAUAAGUAAUGUGAAUUGCAGAAUUCCGUGAAUCAUCGAAUCUUUGAACGCACAUUGCGCCCGCCAGUACUCUGGCGGGCAUGCCUGUUCGAGCGUCAUUUCGACCAUCGAGCCCCCGGGCUCGCGUUGGGGAUCUGCGGCCGCGCGUAGGCCCUGAAAAGCAGUGGCGGGCUCGCCGACACACCGAGCGUAGUAGCAUCAGUUCUCGCUCAGGGGCGUGCUGCGGGUCCCGGCCGUUAAACCUUCUCAAACCCAAAGGUUGACCUCGGAUCAGGUAGGAAUCCCCGCUGAACUUAA
rnacentral:misc_RNA from 1 species